rnacentral:rRNA from 1 species
UACGUAGGGCGCGAGCGUUGUCCGGAAUUAUUGGGCGUAAAGAGCUCGUAGGCGGUUUGUCGCGUCGGAUGUGAAAACCCAGGGCUCAAUCCUGGGCCUGCAUUCGAUACGGGCAGACUAGAGUAUGGCAGGGGAGACUGGAAUUCCUGGUGUAGCGGUGAAAUGCGCAGAUAUCAGGAGGAACACCGGUGGCGAAGGCGGGUCUCUGGGCCAAAACUGACGCUGAGGAGCGAAAGCGUGGGGAGCGAACAGG